rnacentral:rRNA from 1 species
UACGUAGGGUGCAAGCGUUAUCCGGAAUUAUUGGGCGUAAAGAGCUCGUAGGCGGUUUGUCGCGUCUGCUGUGAAAACUGGAGGCUCAACCUCCAGCCUGCAGUGGGUACGGGCAGACUAGAGUGCGGUAGGGGAGAUUGGAAUUCCUGGUGUAGCGGUGGAAUGCGCAGAUAUCAGGAGGAACACCAAUGGCGAAGGCAGAUCUCUGGGCCGUAACUGACGCUGAGGAGCGAAAGCCAGGGGAGCAAAACGGG